AUUUUUGGCAACCCUGCCCUUCACAUCAUCAUCACAGUAUCACACUAUUCAUCAAUUUAAUUUAUCACUAUUUUCAGUAUUCGGUGGUGUGAGUCAUUUUGAAUGUGACUGUCAAAGCCUAGGAAAGGUUUUUGUGAAAUUGACAAAGGCAAGAGUGAGGCUAUACUUCAUAGGAUUACUUGUGACUAUUCUAAACAAUUGAAACUGAGAAAAAUGGAAGAAGAGUCAUCUACCACUCCUCCUGUGUGGAUGAUAGAUCUGGAGAAGAGACUUGAAAAUAUUAAACAGCAUAGGAAAUUGGGUCACGAGGUCGGCGCUGGUUCUAAAUGCCUCAAGUGCUUGGAUGCUUGUCCUGGGCUGGAGUUGCACUAUUGGAGGAAAAGAUGUAUAAGCUGCAAGUGUAAAAAAGAGGAUCAUGAUGUUCCACCAAAUGAAAAUGACCUUCGUUUUGAAAUAUUGUUGUACAAAGAUCCCCAAAAUAAUGCCAAACAAUCCAGACCCGCAAAAACAGAGUUACUUCAUAUCAUGACAAAAAUACCAAAAACUAAAACUGAUGACCUGAAAACUAUUCUAAAUGAGACUGGACCAACAGAUAAGACUUUGUGGUUUGACUGGGUCCCCCCACACGUAUCUAAGGAGUUGGCUGCAGAGUACAUGGUUCAACUCCCAGUGAACAAAAUGCCGAUCAGCAGUUCCGUUGGAGCAGUACAGCGCAAUCUACAGCUUGCCAAGCAGAUUCCGCUUCAUGAUAUUGAUCCAUCAGUCUGGCACAAACUACCUGCAGAAGCACAAGCUGGAUUUCAGAAGUACUUACAAAAUAUUCGAGAUAAUGUAGUUGGACAAGGAAGAGUCCUAAAGGUUUGUCAUAAGCAGUAUGUAGCAGAAAGUUCUGAUCAAAACUUACAGCAACCUCAACAAUCGAAAAAUGUCAGGCAUGACCAGAGCUUUCAAACCAACAUGCCGCAAUCACCGCAAAUAAUCAAUAAGUUCCCAGGAACGAACCAACAAGAGGAUAAUGCCCGUUAUUUAGACUUUAGGAAUCGUAACUUGCAGCCAGUGUGGAAACCUGUGAGUCCCAGGGUUCCAGUAGUCAUGAGACCUAAGCCACUGCUGGCAGAAAUCUCCAAUUUGCUGCCUCCAAAGUGUUUGGACCCUACACCAAGAUUUCCUGCUCCUCUAGAUGAUCCCUCAUUCCUAGACAAUGAAAAGAAUGGAGUGAAUGAUCUAACAAGAGCUCUGGCAGCAUCGCAUAUCACCAAUCCCGAUGUGCAAAAUGCAGAUUCUAAAUGUGAAGAAGAUAAAAUAAACAAAGCCUUGUCUCCCAACCCUGAUGAUAAAUCAUCAUCCCGUGAAGAGGCAACCACUACUCCAUCUAAUCCUUCAGGCAGCUUUGGAGACAAUAUUGGUGAAAAUCGUGACAAUGUCCAAGACAAGUCAUCAGUUUUGGGUCAGAAUCAGCCGUAUCAGUUGAAUACACAGUAUGGCUUUGAUAGCCAUCCGACAGGCUAUGUGCCCAGAACAAAUGUUCCUGCAAACAAACCGUCCGAUGGCAGAAGCCAACUGCCUCCGAGUGUUCCGAGAUACGUCAGAAUCACACAACAAGAUGAGGAUUUAAGAAAUGCCAAUAAGCAAAUGGAGAAUUCCCUGGCCUGCGCUCAGUGUCAUGAACCAAUACUAACGGGCUCGGUGGCAGUGGUAACUGAUCGGGCUGGACCUGGAGUGGCAUGGCACCCCCAGUGCUUUGUGUGCAAUACAUGCAAUGAGUUAUUGGUAGAUCUAAUCUACUUUUUCCAUAAGAACAAAGUGUAUUGUGGACGCCAUUACGCAGAUAUAAAGAAAAUCCCCCGAUGCCAUGCUUGUGAUGAGCUCAUCUUCGUUAAUGUGUACACUAUGGCCGAAGACAAGGCUUACCACGUGGGACACUUCUGUUGCGCUGAGUGCGAAGUUGAACUCGGAGGGAUGAAAUAUGUUCUCUCUGAAGACCAAACUAUCUGCCUGCCAUGUUAUGAAACCAAAUACUGCAAGAAGUGCCAAAGCUGUGGAAAGAUCAUCAAGCCUGACGAACAAGGAGUUACCAUAAUGGACAUGCAUUGGCAUGCUACCGGAACAUGCUUCCACUGCAACAGUUGUGGCAAUUCUCUGAUAGGUUCAAGAGUUGUACGCAGAGGAGGCACUCUCUACUGCUCAAGAGAUUGUUCGGUGUCAGCUAUGGAUGAUGUUAGCUACAGAGCUAUGUAAGUUUGUAUUGUAAUGCGAGUAAAGUGAUUUUACCUUUUAUGUGCUUUUAUAAAACUCCAACUUUUUACAUGUGUCCAUUAAAACAUGUAUAUUUAUAUCUACUAUUUCUUAUGUUAGUUUGUAUUAAGUAAUUUUCUCCUAUUUUUUGACUAGCUUAUUUAGAAUUAGCAACAAAAAUGAACAAAGGUUAUUAAUUUUGCGAACAAUUUCACUCCCUUGCUGACAAGUCACGUCGAAUUUGUGAUUCAAGAAUUUGUUAGCAUUUAAAAUAUAACAUGUAGCCAUUUUGACAUUAACCCUUUUAGGACUGGAAAUUUUCAUAUUUUUCCCACCUAAAAGACCAUGCAGAAUUGUAGUAGUUCAUAAAGUAAAAUUGACUGAAAAAAUCUACUGGACUAAUAGAUCUACUGAAUUGAUUUGUUUGAGCAUUUUUCUUUGUAAAAACUAGGGAAAAACAAAAAAUGUAUAUAUUUUGUGAAAAGUUUACAAACAUUUCAAAAUAUUUCUUUAAAAUGUAGUAUUUGUUUCAUAAAAAAUGUUUAAAUAGUAAAAAUAUGUAGCAUUUGAAAUAAAUGCACUCAUAUUUACGGUUAAAAUGUUUUUUGAGAUUACAAGUUAUUUUAACAAUUCAUCAAAAUGUUCAUACAAAAGUAAUAUAAGAAUAUAUAAUUAUUUUAAGAAUAAUAAAUUCAAAUCAAAUCAAAAGAUCCUUAUUACAAUUUUUUUCAAUACUCCUUAUUUCUUAUUCAGUUGGGUACCCUCCUAUCAACCCUGACUUAAACACACACUGACUUAAUGACUGUGGUUGAUGGUACCUCAGUCAUUUUAUCAAGCACUUUAUCAUCUACGUCAACGUCAAUUAAUUAUUAUCAUUAAGCAAUGAAAAAUAAGCUUAAAUGCCAUAAUCACAGAUUCGGUACUAUGCCGGUCCACGUACUGAUUAAUUGAUAGAGAUGGAGAGUCAGAGAAAUGGGUUGGGAAAGGGAACCAUUCCUGUUUAUAUAGGAACACAGUGCGGGCAAUAUCGAUGUCAAGAAAUUCAAACCAACCCCGAGCCAACUAAAACCGGAUUUUAAAAUAAAAUUCUUAAAUUGUAUUACCAAUAUAUUGGUGAUUGGUCUUUUUAGCCUAAACCUAAACAUAAUAAUAUAUGGGUUGUUGUUUCCUAAAAGGGUUACUAUACUUUUUAUAACAAUAUAUAGUGAAGCUAAUUAGGUAAAUUUUUACUUAAUUAGAUUGUACUCUUAUGUCUUAUAUAACAUACCAUGUUAAAUAUGCUAAUUUGAUACUAUAAUUAAUUGUAUAAGAUAACACACAGUGUACCACUAUUAUUAAACUUGACAAAUUUAUUAUUAUUGUUAUAUUUUUUAUUUUGUGCAAUGUCCACUGCCAUAUUUUUCUACAUAGGUACUGUAAUAAUGUAUAACUCAAGAGCCUAGGAACUGUUUUGCUAUGUAGUGUAUCAUCUUGUAGUGUGUCACUUUUAUAAGGUGAGAUAAUUAUGAUUGUGGUCAGGUAUUAUCUACUCUUUAUGUUCAUGUCAAGUAUUAGGGCCAGUUUCUAUUUCUUGUGCUUAUAAUGGGUGUUUACUGGAUUUCUAGACAAUGGCAGUUAUUCUAUAGCUACAUAUUAUUUUGGAAUUUUUAUUGACUGUAUACAUUCAUAAUUAUUUCUUAGGUUUAGGAAAAUAUGUGAAUACAUAUUAUUAAUAGAAUAUUUAUAUGAAGUUACCUAAAUGGAGGUAGUUCAGUUCAUUCAUUUAUAUCUUAUGUAUUAUUUCAUAUUUUUAAUAUAGAUAGUUUCAUGAAUAUUUUCACAGGUAAAUAAAAUAUUACAUCUCCAUUGAAUUUCAUGUGUAUAGACUGUCAUAGACAUAUCAGUUUAAGUGAAAUCUAGUAAUUAAUAAUAAAUUCCAACAUAGUUGCCAAUUUGAGAAUAGUCUUUUUUAUUGUGAUAAAGAAAGUCUGCUAGUCUGUAAGUUAUAAAAUUGAUUCUUAUAAAUUAAUGUAAAGGUUGCCCAAAUGUUGUGUUAUUGCUUAAGAGAAGCAACAUAAUUUGUAGUAGAUUUGGUCACAGAGAGCUUUACUGAAAUAAUUAACGGAUGCUCCCAGUAAAGUGACUGCUUGAAUGAGGUUUGUCCGCAAAGUAUCUAACCUUGUGCUGUAGCCUCCCACCACUUCAUCUCCUAUCUGCACAAUGCUUAAUUUCCUUCAUUGCCUGUAGUUACUGCCUUUUUUCAGUGCCCUUCUUCUUCCAGCUCGAAUGAGGUUGGCUGCAAAGUAUCUAACCUUGUGCUGUAGCCUCCCACCACUUCAUCUCCUAUCUGCACAAUGCUUAAUUUCCUUCAUUGCCUGUAGUUACUGCCUUUUUUUCAGUGCCCUUCUUCUUCCAGCUCGAAUGAGGUUUGUCCGCAAAGUAUCUAACCUUGUGCUGUAGCCUCCCACCACUUCAUCUCCUAUCUGCACAAUGCUUAAUUUCCUUCAUUGCCUGUAGUUACUGCCUUUUUUCAGUGCCCUUCUUCUUCCAGCUCGAAUGAGGUUUGUCCGCAAAGUAUCUAACCUUGUGCUGUAGCCUCCCACCACUUCAUCUCCUAUCUGCACAAUGCUUAAUUUCCUUCAUUGCCUGUAGUUACUGCCUUUUUUCAGUGCCCUUCUUCUUCCAGCUCGAAUGAGGUUUGUCCGCAAAGUAUCUAACCUUGUGCUGUAGCCUCCCACCACUUCAUCUCCUAUCUGCACAAUGCUUAAUUUCCUUCAUUGCCUGUAGUUACUGCCUUUUUUCAGUGCCCUUCUUCUUCCAGCUCGAAUGAGGUUGGCUGCAAAGUAUCUAACCUUGUGCUGUAGCCUCCCACCACUUCAUCUCCUAUCUGCACAAUGCUUAAUUUCCUUCAUUGCCUGUAGUUACUGCCUUUUUUCAGUGCCCUUCUUCUUCCAGCUCGAAUGAGGUUUGUCCGCAAAGUAUCUAACCUUGUGCUGUAGCCUCCCACCACUUCAUCUCCUAUCUGCACAAUGCUUAAUUUCCUUCAUUGCCUGUAGUUACUGCCUUUUUUCAGUGCCCUUCUUCUUCCAGCUCGAAUGAGGUUGGCUGCAAAGUAUCUAACCUUGUGCUGUAGUCUUCCACAACCUCUUCUCCUAUCUAAACAUAUUUUAAAAAGUUUAAAAAAUAAUCCAUGUACGCUUUCAUCCAUGUACACCACUCCCAAAUAGAAAGGCUCUUUGGAAGUUAGCUGUCAUAACCCUAAGACUCUGUGACAUCAUGUUGGAUGGCAGUAAAAGGUCUGCUCGGACAAAACUGAGGUUGUACCUUAUUCAGCCCAGGUAACCCACGAUUUGUUACCUGUUAAUUAAGUUUUCUGAAAUGUACAGUAUCUAGUCUUUGUUGUUUUUGUUCAUUACAAUAUUGUUCUCUCUAAUUUUUCACAUACCUUUUGUCAUGUUCAAAUUUUCAGGUAUAAUUUUGUUAACCUAUCGUCCUGUACAAUUAAAGUCUAUAUUGAUUUACCCUGGACUGAAACGCCAUUCUGAAUCCGUGAGAUUAUUUACUUUAGUUACAUUUUGUCCAAACAUUUCUGUGAAGGGCUUUCAGAUCGCGCUAUGUCAUUGUAACGCUCAUCAAGUGAAUACUCUAUUUUUGAAAUUUUCUGCCAUGACAAGAACGCUAAAGCAGUUUUUGCGCCAAAUUCGAUCAUGAUUGAGGUUCCCUCACCAAAAAUCCCACAAUCGGGGAAUGUGCUGCUGGUAACUAGAGCACUGUGCAACAACCACAUUCAAUUCUUUACUUUAGGUCUUCAGAUUGCAUUUUAUUUUUCUUUUACUCUCUCAAAUCUUGUACAUUCCAGAGAACUUUUCAUUAUUUGGAAGAGCAAAUAGGAAUUGUCAAAAUUAUGACUCAAACACUCUACUGUUGUAAACACUAGUUUUGGAUUAGUUUUAAAUUCCUCUGUAGAAUUAUACAAAAACAGUAUAUGAGAUUUUCGGCCUUCUUACAAAUAUUUUAUAUUCAAUUCAAUCCGUUUUGACCGUUUUUAUUGGCAUGAAUACAUUCAAAAUUUUGUUCAGUUGCUCAACAUUGUAGCUUCUAUUAAAUGUAGAGAUUAAUAUUUAUAUAAAAAAAAUUAUGUUUUUUCUGGAAACAUUUUGGAAGGAAACAUGGGCAUGUAUGCAUCACCCUCCUGAUCUAUUACGUUACAACUGCUCUGGGGUACAUUUGAUUCAAACCUAUUUGCUGAUUUCUUAUAAUAAAGUAUUUAUCAAAUAUAGAUAUAUUUUUAUUGUUAUGUACGUUCAUGUUUUCUAAAUACUGUCAUGUAAGCAACACUUAAAUAUAUGUAUUUUUAUUGUUCUUAAAA
rnacentral:misc_RNA from 1 species